rnacentral:rRNA from 1 species
AUGUGGAGAGGAGUGCGGAAGAACACAUCAAGACGGCAAAUCAAGCACCAAAUCAAAUUCUUGGAUGCAGAAAAGGUCACAAGUCCAAGACGAAAUUUGCGCAAGAAAAAAAAGGACGAAAUCUUGUGCUACUGUACUACCGAUGAAGCUCACGCUUUUACCGCCAAGAAUCAGCAACAAAUCAGCGGCUCAACUGCACCAUCAAUUCAAAAAGCACACAUUCUUCGCAUGCAAGGGAGCGGCGCGCUCACCGGGUACAGGCACGGGCACGGGCACGGCCACCACCGCGGGCGGCUGAGAUGGAGACGGAUAUGGAGCCGUCGGCAGAACCGGCACCGGCACCGGCGGAGGCGCAGGCGCAGGCGCAGGCGUGGACGUUUCCUCGUCCUCUUCCUCAGACGACGAUGA